rnacentral:misc_RNA from 1 species
UCUCCGUUGGUGAACCAGCGGAGGGAUCAUUACCGAAGUUACCUUCAAAACCCACUGUGAACCUUACCUCUUGCCGCGUUGUCUCGGCGGGAGGCGGUGUGCGUCGCGCGCCCUAGCGGGCCGCGCCGCUCCCGUCCCCGCCGGCAGCGCCAAACUCUAAAUGCACAGCGGACUGUACGUUCUGAUUUACAAAAAAAACAAGUUAAAACUUUCAACAACGGAUCUCUUGGCUCUG